CAGAAACAGCCAACGCGUUCUCUAGCGCGCUGCCUGCAGGGGGCGUCUGGGCAUUGUCGGUUUUAGGGGCCUUGUCGGUUCUGCGGGGCGAGCGCCUUCGCGGAAAACUCCAAAGUACCCUCUGUGGAGCCUUGUUGAGUAUCUUCAAACCUUCAGAGGGACCUUUUAUCAGCGACCCAUGCCGCAGUUUACAGAAGAACGCUUUGUGCGUGCUUUGGGACGAGUCUUUGGAAAUGAUGGUUCUGACUCUGAGUUGGAAACUGGAACGCACACAACAGAUGGGAGGCGUUGAAGGAAACAGAAAGGUCGGCCUGAGGGGAGAGGCGUUUCAGGAGGCUUGCGGAUGUGUGAAGUGUGCGCACUGUGCUUGGGGCGAGCCCAAGCAGUAACCCCACCCGAGUGAAGCGUUCUUGGGGGGAUCGGCUCCGGGUGGGCGACGUUCCCCGCGUGCCCCCUUCCCCCGAGAGCACUUUGUAGACACUGACUCCAAAAGCGGGUCUGGUCUCUGCCCAGCCCCACUUUGGCUGGCGUGCUUAGGUGCCUCUCGGGAAGCUGGAGACCACCCUCCCCCAUUCCAGCAAACGCUCCAUUGAGGAACCUACUGCGUGCCAGGUCCUGGGGAGCUUAGCGUCUGAUGAAGGAUACAACAACAAAAGACUGGAAAUUCAGAAGCAUGAGGGGACCUCCCCCCUCGAGGGAGAACCAGAGAUGGCUUCACAGAGCAGACGUUUGAACUGGGCCUUGGAGGAUGGAUGAGUGGAAUUUGGCCCAGUGGAGAAAGUCAUAGCAGCAGGAGAUAAGAUUGUAAGGGUCAGGUGGUGGGGCUGGAUAAUGCGAAUCUUGACUGUCAGACACAGACACCUGCCAUCUAAUUAGUACGCGAGGGAUAAAUUUUGGACUCCGCAGGAUAAGGACAAGGCUACACAAUGGCUUAGAACAGUUAAUCGGGCAACAGUUGGAAAGGGCCUUUGCCUCAAAAUUAUGUUUGCCCUGUCUUGUGUGAAUGCCUAUUCAGAUGCAUUAUUUGAAAAAUAAAU
rnacentral:lncRNA from 1 species